GCGCCCGUAGUUCAAUUGGAUAGAAUGCCAGACUACGAAUCUGGAGGUUGGAAGUUCGACUCUUUCCGGGCGCACCA
rnacentral:tRNA from 7 species